GAAGGUUUUGGCCCUUCGGAGUCGCCCUACGGGGGGAGGCUCCAAACCGCCUCAUGCUGCGUUGGUUGAUGACCGUCGUGGUGAGCGAUGAGGAAAAGGCAUCCGAGAGGUGUCAGGU
rnacentral:ncRNA from 1 species